UACGUAGGGUGCGAGCGUUGUCCGGAAUUACUGGGCGUAAAGAGCUCGUAGGUGGUUUGUCGCGUUGUUCGUGAAAACUCACAGCUUAACUGUGGGCGUGCGGGCGAUACGGGCAGACUGGAGUACUGCAGGGGAGACUGGAAUUCCUGGUGUAGCGGUGGAAUGCGCAGAUAGUCAGGAGGAACACCGGUGGCGAAGGCGGCUCUCUGGGCCUUACCUGACGCUGAGGAGCGAAAGCGUGGGUAGCGAACGGG
rnacentral:rRNA from 1 species